UUAAAGGAAUUGACGGGACCCCGCACAAGCGGUGGAUUAUGUUGUUUAAUUCGACGCAACGCGAAGAACCUUACCAGGCCUUGACAUACUCGGCAAAGCUCUAGAGAUAGAGUGGAGGUUAUCCGGGAUACAGGUGGUGCAUGGUUGUCGUCAGCUCGUGUCGUGAGAUGUUGGGUUAAGUCCCGCAACGAGCGCAACCCUUGUCUUUAGUUACCAUCAUUCAGUUGGGGACUCUAGAGAGACUGCCGGUGUCAAACCGGAGGAAGGUGGGGAUGACGUCAAGUCCUCAUGGCCUUUAUGACCAGGGCUACACACGUACUACAAUGGCCGGUACAAAGGGCAGCGACACAGCGAUGUGAAGCGAAUCCCGAAAAGCCGGUCUCAGUCCGGAUUGGAGUCUGCAACUCGACUCCAUGAAGUUGGAAUCGCUAGUAAUCGCGGAUCAGCACGCCGCGGUGAAUACGUUCCCGGGCCUU
rnacentral:rRNA from 1 species